rnacentral:rRNA from 1 species
GAUGAACGCUGGCGGCGUGCCUAAUACAUGCAAGUCGAGCGAACGGACGAGAAGCUUGCUUCUCUGAUGUUAGCGGCGGACGGGUGAGUAACACGUGGAUAACCUACCUAUAAGACUGGGAUAACUUCGGGAAACCGGAGCUAAUACCAGAUAAUAUUUUGAACCGCAUGGUUCAAAAGUGAAAGACGGUCUUGCUGUCACUUAUAGAUGGAUCCGCGCUGCAUUAGCUAGUUGGUAAGGUAACGGCUUACCAAGGCAACGAUGCUUAGCCGACCUGAGAGGGUGAUCGGCCACACUGGAACUGAGACACGGUCCAGACUCCUACGGGAGGCAGCAGUAGGGAAUCUUCCGCAAUGGGCGAAAGCCUGACGGAGCAACGCCGCGUGAGUGAUGAAGGUCUUCGGAUCGUAAAACUCUGUUAUUAGGGAAGAACAUAUGUGUAAGUAACUGUGCACAUCUUGACGGUACCUAAUCAGAAAGCCACGGCUAACUACGUG